CCUACGGGUGGCUGCAGUCGAGAAUCUUCGGCAAUGGGCGAAAGCCUGACCGAGCGACGCCGCGUGCGGGAUGAAGGCCUUCGGGUUGUAAACCGCUGUCGUAGGGGAGGAAGGCUCUGUGAAGAGCAGAGUUUGACCGAUCCUAGGAGGAAGUGCAGGCUAACCUCGUGCCAGCAGCCGCGGUAAGACGAGGUGCACAAACGUUAUUCGGAAUUACUGGGCUUAAAGCGUGCGUAGGCGGCUUAGCAAGUCGGGUGUGAAAGCCCUCGGCUCAA
rnacentral:rRNA from 1 species